UAUGGCCAUAACACACUGAAACAUUGAAUCUUAUAUGAUCACUGAAGUUAAACCAUGUUGAGCAUGGUCAGUACCUAGAUGGGUGACUGCUUGGGAAUAUCAGGUGCUGUAA